GACGAACGCUGGCGGCGUGCUUAACACAUGCAAGUCGAACGGGCCCGCUCUCUUUUUUGGGGGUGGGUUGAGUGGCGAACGGGUGAGUAUCACGUGAGUAACCUGCCCCCUGCUCCUGGAUAACUGCUUGAAAGGGCGGCUAAUACGGGGUGUGCCGGCUGGUCCGCAUGGGCCUGGUCGGGAUAGUUUCAUCUUCGGGUGUUUCGGUGGGGGAUGGGCUCGCGGCCUAUCAGCUUGUUGGUGGGGUGAUGGCCCACCAAGGCGGUGACGGGUAGCCGGCCUGAGAGGGUGGGCGGCCACACUGGGACUGAGACACGGCCCAGACUGCUGCGGGAGGCAGCAGUGGGGGGUAUUGCACAAUGGGCGGAAGCCUGAUGCAGCGACGUCGCGUGAGGGAUGGAGGCCUUCGGGUUGUGAACCUCUUUCUCCGGUGGUGAAGGCCCUGUCCGUUGCGGCGGGGUUGACGGUAGCCGGGUAUGAAGCGCCGGCUAACUACGUG
rnacentral:rRNA from 1 species